UGAAUGGCGCGGCUUACUCGUGCAGUCGAGCGCCCCGCGGGGAGAUUGGUCUACUCGGUGAGUAACGCGUGGGAAUCUACCCAUCACUACGGAUAUCUCCGGGAAACUGGAGUUAAUACCGUAUACGUCCUUCGGGAGAAAGAUUUAUCGGUGAUGGAUGAGCCCGCGUUGGAAGGUGUAAUUGGUGGGGUAAUGGACUACCCAGGCGACGAUCCAUAACUGGUCUGAGAGGAUGAUCACCCACGCUGGGACUGAGACACGACCCAAACUCCUACUGGAGGCAGCUGUGGGGAAUAUUGGACCAUGAGCCCAAGCCUGAUCCACCCAUGCCACGUGAGUGAUGAAGGCCCUAGGGUUGUAAAGCUCUUUCAACGGUGAAAAUAAUGACGGUAACCGUAAAAGAACCCCCGGCUAACUUCAUGCCAUCUGCCACGGUAAUACUAACGGGGCUAGCGUUGUUCGGAUUUACUGGACGUAAAGCGCACGUACGCGGAUUGUUAAGUUAGGGGUGAAAUCCCAGGGCUCAACACUGGAACUGCCUUUAAUACUGGCAAUCUCUAAUCCGGAAGAGGUGAGUGGAAUUCCGAGUGUAGAGGUGAAAUUCGUAGAUAUUCGGAGGAACACCAGCUGGCGAAGGCGAGCUCACUGGUCCGGUACUGACGCUGAUGUGCGAAAGCAUGGGAGAGAACAACAGGAUUAGAUACCCUGGUAGUCCACGCUGUAAACGAUGGAAGCUAGCCGUCGUGCAAGAUUACUUGUCAGUAGAUGCAGCUAACGCACUACGCUUUCCCACCAUGGAGGAGCUACGGUCUCAAAGAUUAAUACUGCAGAUGAAUUGCACUGAAUCACGCGGUCCAUCGCUGGCCGGUGAGCGAUGCGACGUCGCGACGCUAUACGCUCUAUAGAGUUGUCGUAUUACACUUCACUGCGUCCCUCUUUUUUUACAAAACCAUUUUGGGACGAGCCUCCCAACGCGAUCGAUGCAUAGCCUUUGAGUAUCCCUAUAGUGUCACCUAAUAGCUUGGCGUAUCCAUGGGGCUAGACGGGGUGUUUCUCCGGGGA
rnacentral:rRNA from 1 species